rnacentral:rRNA from 1 species
UACGAAGGGGGCUAGCGUUGCUCGGAAUCACUGGGCGUAAAGGGUGCGUAGGCGGGUCUUUAAGUCAGGGGUGAAAUCCUGGAGCUCAACUCCAGAACUGCCUUUGAUACUGAAGAUCUUGAGUUCGGGAGAGGUGAGUGGAACUGCGAGUGUAGAGGUGAAAUUCGUAGAUAUUCGCAAGAACACCAGUGGCGAAGGCGGCUCACUGGCCCGAUACUGACACUGAGGCACGAAAGCGUGGGGAGCGAACAGG